GACGAACGCUGGCGGCGUGCUUAACACAUGCAAGUCGUACGGUAAGGCCCUUUCGGGGGUCCACGAGUGGCGAACGGGUGAGUAACACGUGAGUAACCUGCCCACAACUUUGGGAUAACGCUAGGAAACUGGUGCUAAUACUGGAUAUGUGCUCCUGCUGCAUGGUGGGGGUUGGAAAGCUCCGGCGGUUGUGGAUGGACUCGCGGCCUAUCAGCUUGUUGGUGGGGUAGUGGCCUACCAAGGCGGCGACGGGUAGCCGGCCUGAGAGGGUGACCGGCCACAGUGGGACUGAGAUACGGCCCAGACUCCUACGGGAGGCAGCAGUGGGGAAUAUUGAACAAUGGGCGCAAGCCUGAUGCAGCAACGCCGCGUGCGGGAUGACGGCCUUCGGGUUGUAAACCGCUUUCAGCAGGGACGAAGCUUUUUGUGACGGUACCUGCAGAAGAAGCACCGGCUAACUACGUG
rnacentral:rRNA from 1 species